rnacentral:rRNA from 1 species
GCAAGUCGAGCGCGAAAACACUUCGGUGUGAGUAGAGCGGCGGACGGGUGAGUAAUGCUUGGGAAUCUGCCCAGUAGUGGGGGAUAACGUGUGGAAACGCACGCUAAUACCGCAUACGUCCUACGGGAGAAAGCAGGGGAUCUUCGGACCUUGCGCUAUUGGAUGAGCCCAAGUCGGAUUAGCUUGUUGGUGGGGUAAUGGCCUACCAAGGCGACGAUGCUUAACUGGUCUGAGAGGAUGAUC